UCUUCCGCAAUGGACGCAAGUCUGACGGAGCAACGCCGCGUGAGUGAUGAAGGUUUUCGGAUCGUAAAACUCUGUUGUUAGGGAAGAACAAGUACCGUUCGAAUAGGGCGGUACCUUGACGGUAUCUAACCAGAAAGCCACGGCUCACUACGUGCCAGCAACCGCGGUAAUACGUAGGUGGCAAGCGUUGUCCGGAUUUAUUGGGCGUAAAGCGAGCGCAGGCGGUUUCUUAAGUCUGAUGUGAAAGCCCCCGGCUCAACCGGGGAGGGUCAUUGGAAACUGGGAGACUUGAGUGCAGAAGAGGAGAGUGGAAUUCCACGUGUAGCGGUGAAAUGCGUAGAGAUGUGGAGGAACACCAGUGGCGAAGGCGACUCUCUGGUCUGUAACUGACGCUGAGGCGCGAAAGCGUGGGGAGCGAACAG
rnacentral:rRNA from 1 species